UAGGGAAUCUUCCGCAAUGGACGAAAGUCUGACGGAGCAACGCCGCGUGAGCGAAGAAGGCCUUCGGGUCGUAAAGCUCUGUUGUUAGGGAAGAACAAGUAUCGGAGUAACUGCCGGUACCUUGACGGUACCUAACCAGAAAGCCACGGCUAACUACGUGCCAGCAGCCGCGGUAAUACGUAGGUGGCAAGCGUUGUCCGGAAUUAUUGGGCGUAAAGCGCGCGCAGGCGGUCCUUUAAGUCUGAUGUGAAAGCCCACGGCUCGACCGUGGAGGGUCAUUGGAAACUGGGGGACUUGAGUGCAGAAGAGGAGAGUGGAAUUCCACGUGUAGCGGUGAAAUGCGUAGAGAUGUGGAGGAACACCAGUGGCGAAGGCGACUCUCUGGUCUGUAACUGACGCUGAGGCGCGAAAGCGUGGGGAGCAAACAGGAUUAGAUACCCUGGUAGUCCACGCCGUAAACGAUGAGUGCUAAGUGUUAGAGGGUUUCCG
rnacentral:rRNA from 1 species